UAAAAUUUCCAUUACAUUAAAAACAACUAAUAAAUAAAAUAGUAUUCAUGUUAUUAUUAGUAUCUGUUAUUAAAAUGUUCUAUUUUGUGUGAUAUUUUUACCAUUUCGUAUAUAAAUAAAGUCAUAAAUGAAACUUAUACUAAACUACACAAUGUUGCCAAAAGUAUUGGGACACCUGACUUUUCCACCCAUGUGUGGUUCUUCUCACACACGAUUGCAUCGGAGGUCUUUGGAUGCGGUAUAAUGAAAUGUUCCCUUCACUUCGACUAGGAGACCCAAACCUGUGCCCCUGUGCCCACAGCCAGCUCCAUGAAGAUCUGCUCUAUGUUGGAGACCGUAUGCUCAAGUGUCUAAAGCUUUUGGUCAAUGAGUAUCGAUAUAAAAGCCUAUUGUCUGGCUCCAUAAUUCGAGACCUCAUUACAGCAUACGGACGCUGGCUUCCCGGCUCGCUAUCGUCUCAUUCACUCACUCACACACACACACACACACACACACACACACACAGUGCUACAGUUGAGACACCCGGGCUCGAUGCCAAUGCGGGAACAAAAGCGUCCUUUUAAACCACGUGAGUCUCAGAGCGUCUCUCAGGCCGGAUGGAGAGAUGCAUCAUGGGAAAGUGGAUAAGCGUGACUCGACUCGGCUCGUCGUGGAUUUAACACUUUAGACUCGACUGAUGCUGAAUGGAUUAUUAGCAGGCUAGUGGGAUCUGUAGCUUGUUGUCUGCAAAUCUUCCAAACAUGUAAAUCGUCACUGGGAGCAGUAAAAAAGCCUCCUACAGCAUUAUGAAGGUCUCACCAUGGGGUAAAGGAAUCAGCACAAGCAACUACUACAUCAGAACGUCAGGAGUUUGCUUCGCUCGUAAAACCCCUGCAUCCUGGCCGACGUGUGAAGGUCACGUGAACAACAGCGAUAAGAUAAAUCAAGCGGUUGAUCAACACGAUCCCAUGUUCUGCAAAAUGAUUUACCCAUUGACCUCUUCCACGUAAGAACUAUGUCAUGAAUGAGCAUAAAACAUUCCUUAAAACUACAAUCAAUCGAUUUUGCAGAUACAAAUAAAACAUUUUGGUGAGAUUGUAAAGUA